rnacentral:rRNA from 1 species
AUACGGAGGAUCCGAGCGUUAUCCGGAUUUAUUGGGUUUAAAGGGUGCGCAGGCGGCCAUUUAAGUCAGCGGUUAAAUCGUGGGGCUCAACCCCAUUCUGCCGUUGAUACUGGGUGGCUUGAUUGCGGUCGAGGUUGGCGGAAUUCGUUGUGUAGCGGAGAAAUGCAUAGAUAUGACGAAGAACACCGAUUGCGUAGGCAGCUGACCAGACCGCAAAUGACGCUCAUGCACGAAAGUGCGGGGAUCGAACAGGAUUAGAUACCCUGGUAGUCCGCACAGUAAACGAUGAAUACUUGUUUUCGGCGAUAUAAUGUCGGAGGCAAAGCGAAAGCGAUAAGUAUUCCACCUGGGGAGUACGCCGGCAACGGUGAAACUCAAAUGAAUUGACGGGG